AACUUCACAUCACCCCGCCGCCAUCAGGGCAGACCCGGCUAGCACCUGCCUCCAACACCCCACAGGACCCCUCAUUUUGAGACUGCAAGUUGAAAGAUGUUUCGCUCUGAAAGAGAAAGAAGAGAUGCUGAGCUGGCUUCAAAGACACCCGCAGGGCUCACGGAGCUGAUGGCCUCUGAACAACCAACGGGGUACACAACCUGGAACAUGCCCUGUCCUCUCAAGGGAAGUGUAAGCCUUUGACCAGGACAAUAAGGACUGGCACCAGCAUGAGGUAACCUGGCUACAAAGAACUAACCUUAUAGCUUGCUAACCGGUUCAUUUCAUAAUAUUUAAUACCUCAGACUUAAUAAAUCUCUAUGCUGGAGUA